UACGUAGGGUGCAAGCGUUAAUCGGAAUUACUGGGCGUAAAGCGUGCGCAGGCGGUUUUGUAAGUCAGAUGUGAAAUCCCCGGGCUUAACCUGGGAACUGCGUUUGAAACUACAAGGCUAGAGUGUGACAGAGGGGGGUGGAAUUCCACGGUGUAGCAGGUGAAAUGCGUAGAGAUGUGGAGGAACACCGAUGGCGAAGGCAGCCCCCCUGGGCCUGCACUGACGCUCAUGCACGAAAGCGUGGGGAGCAAACAGG
rnacentral:rRNA from 1 species